rnacentral:rRNA from 1 species
GUGGGGAAUAUUGGACAAUGGGCGCAAGCCUGAUCCAGCCAUGCCGCGUGAGUGAUGAAGGCCUUAGGGUUGUAAAGCUCUUUCAGUGGGGACGAUAAUGACGGUACCCACAGAAGAAGCCCCGGCUAAAUUCGUGCCAGCAGCCGCGGUAAUACGAAGGGGGCUAGCGUUGUUCGGAUUUACUGGGCGUAAAGCGCACGUAGGCGGAUCGUUAAGUCGGGGGUGAAAUCCUGGAGCUCAACUCCAGAACUGCCUUCGAUACUGGCGAUCUUGAGUCCGGAAGAGGUGAGUGGAACUCCUAGUGUAGAGGUGGAAUUCGUAGAUAUUAGGAAGAACACCAGUGGCGAAGGCGGCUCACUGGUCCGGUACUGACGCUGAGGUGCGAAAGCGUGGGGAGCAAACAGGAUUAGAUACCCGAGUAGUCC